GAUGAACGCUGGCGGCGUGCCUAAUACAUGCAAGUCGAGCGAACAGACGAGGAGCUUGCUCCUCUGACGUUAGCGACGGACGGGUGAGUAACACGUGGAUAACCUACCUAUAAGACUGGGAUAACUUCGGGAAACCGGAGCUAAUACCGGAUAAUAUAUUGAACCGCAUGGUUCAAUAGUGAAAGACGGUUUUGCUGUCACUUAUAGGUGGAUCCGCGCCGCAUUAGCUAGUUGGUAAGGUAACGGCUUACCAAGGCAACGAUGCGUAGCCGACCUGAGAGGGUGAUCGGCCACACUGGAACUGAGACACGGUCCAGACUCCUAAGGGAGGCAGCAGUAGGGAAUCUUCCGCAAUGGGCGAAAGCCUGACGGAGCAACGCCGCGUGAGUGAUGAAGGUCUUCGGAUCGUAAAACUCUGUUAUUAGGGAAGAACAAAUGUGUAAGUAACUAUGCACGUCUUGACGGUACCUAAUCAGAAAGCCACGGCUAACUACGUG
rnacentral:rRNA from 1 species